UACGUAGGGGGCAAGCGUUGUCCGGAUUUAUUGGGCGUAAAGAGCGUGUAGGCGGCCAGACAGGUCCGUUGUGAAAACUAGGGGCUUAACCUCUAGACGUCGAUGGAAACCGUUUGGCUAGAGUCCGGAAGAGGAGAAUGGAAUUCCUGGUGUAGCGGUGAAAUGCGCAGAUAUCAGGAAGAACACCCGUGGCUAAGGCGGUUCUCUAGUACGGUACUGACGCUGAGACGCGAAAGCGUGGGGAGCGAACAGG
rnacentral:rRNA from 1 species